AUGCUCCUCCACUGGGCCCUAUUGACUACACCGGCUCAAUGUGAACUCUCUACCUUCUGCUUCACGUCUUCUCCCUUUGGCUCCACCAGAAGGCGCAAGCAGCUCCUCUGGCGGGAUGAAGAAGGGGGAGUGGUAGCCGGUUUGAAGGAAGGGGGAGAGGGAGGAGUAAGUAGGACAGGGCCCCUUAAAGGGGCGGGUCAAUCCCGCCGGGCCCCGCCCCCUGGGGCGGCGCAGGCGCAGGCGGGCUCCAGGAACUCCGGCGGGAGGGCGGGCGCUCCUGGCUCUUGGGCCGGCGCGCUGGGCCGCAGCACCUGCGGGGGCCGGCGCAGGGCGCGGCGCCCGGCGGGCGGACCUCGACGCCCAGGAGCGAGGGCAGGGAGCCGGGACCGGGACGGGGGGCGGAGCGGGAGGGGACGCUACCCCGCAGCCCCCUCCCCCGGGGGACGGGGCGGAAGCAGUCGGGCGCGGGGAGGUGUGAGCGGACGCCGAGGACAGCACCAUCUGGAGGGGCGGGACCGCGCGGCCUCUGGGGGGCAGGCGAGUGCGUUGGGCAGUGCCGGCUGGGGGCCCCAGGCGGGGAGUUGUGCAGGAAGAGCGCGGCGGGCUCAGCCCAGGGCUGCCGGAGCAGCAGCCGCAGCUGGUCGGGGUUCUCAGCUGGGGCCCGCAGCAGCUCCGCGGGCUGAAGCUCGGCGUGGAGGAGCAGGGGGGCGUGGGUCCGGCGGUGCAGGAGGAGGGCGGGGUGGGCCCGGGGGUGCAGGAGCGGGGCGGCCGAGGCCACGAGCCCAGUCUGGGGGUGGUGUGGGGGCCGCCGGACGGCGCGGACUGGAGGCGCCCGCCGCCGUGGACUGGCUCCGCGGGCUGGCCGGUGGUGCAGGAGGAGGGGCUGGGGCCCCGCAAGCAGCACCAGGAGAAAGGGGAAAGCAGCCCCGCAGUGCAGGAGCGGGGGGAGGCCCGCACCGGGGUGCAGGAACGGGGGGAGGGGAGCCCACGUCGGCUGCUGCAGCAGCCCGAGCAGCUGUCCGAGUUCGGGGAGGGCUCUUGGGAGCGCAGAGACGAGCUCGAAAGUUCCGGGGAGCAGUACUGGGAGAGCUGCGGGCACCUCAGACGGGAGGCGGUGGUCCUGGGAGAGGUCCCGGCCCGUCGCAAGAGACUCGAACUGCUGGGGAGGGCCCGGCCAGUGGGGCCCCGGGGGCCUGA
ensembl:lncRNA